GCGGGGAUAGCUCAGUUGGGAGAGCGUCAGACUGAAGUUAAACUUCAAUCUUAUCAUUAAUCUGAAGGUCGUGCGUUCGAUCCGCACUCACCGCA
rnacentral:tRNA from 1 species